CAGAGAACUUGCCCUUCGGGGUAGAUCUCCCCACCCUUUGUUAACAUUACUUUGUUGCUUUGGCAGGCCAGGCAAUGGUCCUACCGGCUUUAUGCUGGCUAGUGCCUGCCAGAGGACCCAAACUCCUAAUCUAAUUUCGUCUGAGUUACUAUACAAUUAGUUA
rnacentral:misc_RNA from 1 species